GAUGAACGCUGGCGGCGUGCCUAAUACAUGCAAGUCGAGCGAACAGACGAGGAGCUUGCUCCUCUGACGUUAGCGGCGGACGGGUGAGUAACACGUGGAUAACCUACCUAUAAGACUGGGAUAACUUCGGGAAACCGGAGCUAAUACCGGAUAAUAUAUUGAACCGCAUGGUUCAAUAGUGAAAGACGGUUUUGCUGUCACUUAUAGAUGGAUCCGCGCCGCAUUAGCUAGUUGGUAAGGUAACGGCUUACCAAGGCGACGAUGCGUAGCCGACCUGAGAGGGUGAUCGGCCACACUGGAACUGAGACACGGUCCAGACUCCUACGGGAGGCAGCAGUAGGGAAUCUUCCGCAAUGGGCGAAAGCCUGACGGAGCAACGCCGCGUGAGUGAUGAAGGUCUUCGGUUCGUAAAACUCUGUUAUUAGGGAAGAACAAAUGUGUAAGUAACUAUGCACGUCUUGACGGUACCUAAGCAGAAAGCCACGGCUAACUACGU
rnacentral:rRNA from 1 species